rnacentral:ncRNA from 1 species
UAUAUUUGAUCUGAAAUGAAAAACACAAAACAAUAUACUUGGUGGUGGAACUAUCGAUAUCCAAUGUCGUGAAACCCCUAGUGUGUAAAAAAUACAAAGGCUUGUC